rnacentral:rRNA from 1 species
UACAGAGGGGGCAAGCGUUGUUCGGAAUUACUGGGCGUAAAGGGCGCGUAGGCGGCCUGCUAAGUCGAACGUGAAAUCCCUGGGCUCAACCCAGGAACUGCGUCCGAUACUGGUUGGCUUGAAUCCGGGAGAGGGAUGUGGAAUUCCAGGUGUAGCGGUGAAAUGCGUAGAUAUCGGGAGGAACACCGGUGGCGAAGGCGGCCUUCUGGACGGAUACUGACGCUGAGACGCGAAAGCGUGGGGAGCAAACAGG